rnacentral:rRNA from 1 species
AUGGCUCAGGAUGAACGCUAGCUACAAGGCUUAACACAUGCAAGUCGAGGGGCAGCAUGUGGUUGCUGCAACCAAUGAUGGCGACCGGCGCACGGGUGAGUAACGCGUAUCCAACUUCCCCUUAGUAGAGGAUAGCCCGGCGAAAGUCGGAUUAAUACCCUAUGUUGUAUUUUGAUGACAUCUGACGAAUACCAAAGAUUUAUCGCUAAGGGAUGGGGAUGCGUCUGAUUAGGUUGCAGGCGGGGUAACGGCCCACCUGGCCUACGAUCAGUAGGGGUUCUGAGAGGAAGGUCCCCCACACUGGUACUGAGACACGGACCAGACUCCUACGGGAGGCAGCAGUGAGGAAUAUUGGUCAAUGGGCGCGAGCCUGAACCAGCCAAGUAGCGUGCAAGGACGACUGCCCUAUGGGUUGUAAACUGCUUUUAUCAGGGAAUAAAGUGAGGCACGCGUGCCUUUUUGUAUGUACCUGAUGAAUAAGGACCGGCUAAUUCCGUGCCAGCCGCUGC